AUGCAUCAUCCCAUUCAGAUGAAACCUGCAGAUAGUGAAAAGUCCAACGCUGUGGAAGACAGAAAAUUGUUCAUAGGAAUGGUUUCGAAGAAAUGUAAUGAGAAUGAUAUCAGGGUGAUGUUUUCUCCAUUUGGCCAGAUAGAAGAAUGCCGGAUUCUCCGGGGACCUGAUGGUCUCAGUCGAGGCUGUGCGUUUGUCACAUUUUCUACAAGGGCAAUGGCACAGAAUGCAAUCAAAGCCAUGCAUCAGUCUCAGACCAUGGAGGGCUGCUCUUCACCUAUCGUGGUGAAGUUUGCUGAUACUCAGAAGGACAAGGAGCAAAGGCGCCUCCAGCAGCAGCUCGCGCAACAGAUGCAACAGCUCAACACUGCCACCUGGGGGAACCUGACGGGUCUGGGCGGACUCACCCCACAGUACCUGGCGCUUCUGCAGCAGGCCACCUCCUCCAGCAACCUGGGUGCAUUCAGUGGCAUUCAGCAAAUGGCUGGCAUGAAUGCUUUACAGUUACAGAAUCUGGCCACACUGGCUGCCGCCGCAGCUGCGGCCCAGACCUCAGCCACCAGCACCAAUGCAAACCCUCUCUCCACCACGAGCAGUGCCCUGGGAGCCCUCACGAGUCCCGUGGCUGCUUCAACCCCCAACUCCACUGCUGGUGCAGCCAUGAAUUCCUUGACCUCUCUGGGGACUCUGCAAGGAUUGGCUGGAGCCACUGUUGGACUGAAUAAUAUUAAUGCACUAGCAGGUAUGGCGGCUCUGAAUGGAGGACUUGGCGCCACAGGCUUGACGAAUGGCACGGCUGGCACCAUGGACGCCCUCACCCAGGCCUACUCAGGAAUCCAGCAGUAUGCAGCGGCUGCGCUGCCCACGCUGUACAGCCAGAGCUUGCUGCAGCAGCAGAGCGCAGCGGGCAGCCAAAAGGAAGGUCCAGAGGGGGCAAACCUCUUUAUUUACCACCUUCCACAGGAGUUUGGAGACCAGGACAUUCUGCAGAUGUUCAUGCCUUUUGGAAAUGUUAUCUCUGCUAAAGUCUUCAUUGACAAACAGACCAAUCUGAGCAAGUGCUUUGGUUUUGUUAGCUAUGACAAUCCCGUCUCUGCACAAGCUGCUAUCCAGGCUAUGAAUGGCUUUCAGAUCGGCAUGAAACGCUUGAAGGUGCAGCUGAAGCGCUCCAAAAACGACAGCAAACCUUACUGAUCCUAACCCCAGAGGCUCCCUGCUCUUAUUUUAGCUUUCUUAGGGUAAGUCCCAUAAGCCAGCCUGUUCUCAACAGGAAAGGCAGAGGAGGACCACAUUGCCAACUUUUACCAAGAGAGACGGUUAUUUUUACAAUAAGGCCUCCAUUUCCCCCCCACUCCCUCCACCCAGUCUGCCAUAUUAAAACUUGGGCUACCUUGUUUCUAUUGAGUAAAUUCCACCUCCAGUUGUGCCACUGUAUUUCAUUUGUUUUGCGAUUUGAAUCUCCUUUUACCUUUUUUUUUUCAUUUUUUUAUUUUUGCUUUUUUAAAGAAAAACAUAUACACAAAUAAAUGACAUCUUGAGAAUUUAAAAGGCAAACAAACGUAAUGUGCAAUUCUAACUCUGAAACCACUGGUGCCCCAAGAGCACUGCCUGGAAAAUUCAUCCUCCUUGGCCUGCGCCCGCCCCUCCAGAGGGCAGGGGCGGCGGGGACAGUCUUUAGAAGUUAACUUGGUGGCCUAGCGAGAGGGGGAAGCCAGGAGAAGCACUUACUCAAAACAACACAAAACGUCUUUCCACUACAUCAGUUGGUUUUAAUAAGUAGGAUUUUAUUUUAGGGUUCAAAGAAACAUGAUAAUUUAUUGAUCAGAUUAUUACAUUGGUUGUCUAUUUUGUUAUUGUUUUAUUUUAGUUUUUAGAAAGGAUUAAUGUAAAAAAAAAGAUUUAGAGAUCUGUUUCUUAAAGCUACAGGGUUUAAAAAUAAAAUAAAAAUGAGUGAAAAUACUUGAUGUUUCUUGAAAGAUAAAUUUAAUAAUAAUAAAUAAAUACAUAAAUAAUACAUAAAAAAGAAAGCCACAGGCCUGUAAAUUUUAUUUGUAAAAAAAGCAUUUCUAUUUUUAUACAAAAUUUUUACUGCCUCAGAAAUAAUGGAAGUUAUUUAUUGCCUAUUGUUAACUUAUUGGGUACCUAAAGAGCAGUUCUCUGUCUAGCUAGAACCUUCUGAAGUAGUCUCUAGAGGAAUUGUUCUAGGAAUGGGCUUUUUUUCACCGUUGAACCCUAGACCUAAAGUUCAUGCUUUAUCCUCUCGUUGUUCAUAUCUGUCUGAUUAUUUUGUUCGUAACUUCCAUUAUCCAGUUUACAGUUCAGUUGUCUGACUUUCCCCAUAUGUCACAUUUGUUGAAACUGGACCCUCUCCCCUGUCCCUUGCCAGUCCCUCACCCCAAUACACCUGGAAUCCAUCCCUUCUCACUCUCUCCAGAUGGAUUCUCUUGGGGUUUCAUUGUGCUGUGGAUAAAGAGUGUAAGAAAUGCAAAUUAUGUGAAUGGCUCGUAGACUCCCUAAUGACCUAAGAUUUGCAUUAGUUUAUCUCCUGCACCCUUAAAAGUGAUUUUGUUGCUGCUGCAUAGAUUCUGUGUAACUUUUUACUCUUCCUUGUUUUUUCCCUAGACAUCUUCAUGCCCGUUAGUUCAUCGUUUGCCUAGCAUGUCCCUGUGGCGUCUCAAAAAAAAGUUUCAUCGUCCCGUCAUUGUUUCUGAUGUCUUUCUGACCUCACAUCACAUUUGGUUCUCCUACUGACCUUUGAUCUAGUUUGACCUUUGAAAUUUGCAUGUGACCUCAUCUAGCUAUGAAUUCUGGGAAGUCAAUGUGAAAAACAUUGCUGCAUUCAUGCAAGACUGAAAUUUAUUAUUAGACAAAUUAAUUAUAGAAAAAAACCUGUGGCAAAAAUGUUUCCUUCUUUUUUUUUUUCUUUUUUCUUUUCAUAAAACAGACUUGAAAGUAUUAUACAGGGAUUGGCAUUCUUCCCGGUCACUGGUAACAAUAGCAAUAUGUGUCCAGGGACACAGAAUGUUGGUUUCUAACAGACUACUUCCAAAAACAGUUUGAGAAAAAAACUGUCUGAUUUUAAGUCUCUAGAGGUCUGUAAUAGUUUUUACAUUUUUCAGGCAGUGUAAAGUUUUUUGAUAAGGCCAUUUUAGGUGGCUCACUUUCUCAUUAAGAUAUAUAUAUAGAACCACUUUUUGUAGAUUAGUAUAAGAAAAAUAUUUACCCUGUUUUGGGGCAAAUGCUACCUAUUUGUGUCACCUUUUGCUGAACUGACUCACAGUUAGACAAUCCAUGGUUUAAUGCACAUGAAAUUACCUAUAUUUUAUACUGUUUCAAUGUACAGGAGAAAGGUUACUGUAAACUGUGUUAUGUUGGUGCUUCUGUGAAUUAAGUUGUGGUUUCAUCAUGAGUCUUAUGGUCUUAAUGUUCUUUGUUGAUAAGACAAGUUUAGAAUUGGUUUACUUAAAACAAAAAAGAAUUUCAAAAAAAAAGUUGUUUGCUUAAAAAAAAUUUCAUGUGAGGGGAAAAAAAAAACCUAUUCCAGAAUAAGUUUUGUGUUGGCUUGUGAAGCAUUGAUGUCAUUUUUUUUUUUAUUGUGGACUAUUUAGAUGUGUUUGUGUUCAGCAAAAUGUGAUUUUUUUUUCUUUUAAAGAAAAAAGUGAAAAUAUAUAGUGCCAAAUUCCAAAGGUACGUCCUUCCUAGAGCUUCAGUGUGUUUCUUGUGAGAAGUAAUUUGAUAACAUGGGUAUUUUAUUAUGUGUUUUGUAUAAAUCCCUAAUAUUUAAAAAAACAAACAAAAAAAAGAGGUUAAAAAGUUUGUUAACUUGCUAUCCUGUGGUCUUGUUGCCUGAAAUUGUUAUUUGUUAUUUCUCUAUGAUGUUUUUUGUAAGACAUUGUAUAAGUGCCCAUGUCUCACUUUUUUAACCACUCUGCACAUCAAUGCUGUGAAGGCAACCUCACCAUGUAUUUUCUUCAUAAUAUAUGGAAACCUCUAAGGUGAGAAAGUUUUGAACUUUUAACCCUUUCUACCCAGAGCUAUCUGAAAUGUUGGUAACUUUUUAUACUGUCAUCAUGAGUUUGUUUGGGGGUGUUUCUAAUUUAGAUAAUUUUUUUCUACCUAUAUCUUCUGAGUUUUUUCUUUCUUUGUUUUUACUAUUUUUUUAUCCUUUGGGUGAGAUCCAAAAGAAAACACUCUACAAGGCAAAUCUGAAGGGGAAAAAAAUAACUCUCUCCAAUUUUUUCCCUACUCCAUUUUUUCUCUUUUUUUUACUUUUGAUUAUUUCUGGUAAUUUUUUUAAAAAAAAAGAAUUCCUAAUGUGCUGCUGGAAUUCCUUCUUCAGUUUGAAUUAAAAACAAUUUAUUGGAUAAACCGUCUGAGGGGAAAAGUAGGUAGAGUCAGCAUUUAAACCUUAAAAACUCUGUAGGCUUUUGAGAUCAGGUUUAGUGGUAUGUUCUAUCUUAGAAUAUUUUCAUAUACCUUGCAGUUAAACGACUUUGGGAUGAGAUAGUCUUUUGAGGGAUUUUGCUUUUGUUUCUUAAAUACUCCUAAAUAUUUCUAAUCAGCCAUUGUGGUGGGGAUUCUCUGACCCCAGUGGAUACCUCUGAAUCAGCAAGGUAUUUGGAGUUAGAAGCUCACAGCUUUUCCUGCCUUUUUGUUUUUUGGUUGUUAUUAUUGAACACAUUUAAAGGGGAAUGACCAUAUAAGUAAAGCUCAGUUCUUUAUCAAAGUUACUGAUCAAAUACCUAGCACCAAUUCCUGCUGCCACUUUUUAAAGUGCCAUAUGACUUUGACCUUCUGUGAACAGAUAUCUUGCUGUCUUGACAAACCUUAAUGUCAUACCUACAGCCCCAACACAAACUCCAGCCUUCCUGAUAGCAGGCCCUGGAAGCUUCUUGGUCUCAGCUCCAUGUCCCCUCCCCUCUCCCACCCUGUUUGGCUUAAUGGGUGUGUGGAUGUGAUAGCCCUGGGAUGGAAAGGACUAGCCUCUCAUAAUGCAAAAAACAAAAACAAAAGUUUCCUUCUUAUAGCACAUGCACUUCUAAUGAAAUGAUUUGUAUUAUCCUCACACGUGUUUACUACUGCUGGGGCCUUCCUUCAUCCUUUGAGGGCUAUUUUGUACUUCCUGCAGCAAUCAGCUUACUAACAAAAAUUAUCGCACAUGCCUCUCUCAUAUAUUUAUUAUAUGGUGGUGUGUAGACACAUACAUAAAAAACACAAGAGAACACCAUUCAGAUUUCUUAGAACGUUUCAUUCAGAAUCUCUUCAUCUGUCAGUUACAAAAAUCUCAAAGAAAAUUUUCUGAUUCCUUCACUGAAGCAAACUGCCCUCCUCCUGCCCUCUUUUCCUCUUCACCCCCCUGCAUCUCCCCCAAAAGAGAAAUUGAGCGCAGCAGACAGGAGGCUCAGGCUGGGCACUUUGAGUUGAAUGUUUCUUAUUUUGCAGACAACCAAGACAGUAUAUUUAGGGGGAAAGUCCUUUUUUUUUUUCUUUUCCAUGUUCCACUGUUAAAAAGAUAACCCUCCUCCUCAGAGACAAACUGUCCUUUUAUCCCUUCAUUCACUUAUCUUUUAAUAUCAAAAGGAAAAAGCUGCAGGGGAGCAGAGGGCCUGUGCCAGAAGAAAAAACACACAGGGAAACUGCUUUUUUAAAUCACGUGUAGAGAAUAGUCAUUUUUAAACUAAAUGAGAGAAUUACGAUAAAAUGGCAGUCCUCAAAGGCGUAACAAGUUCAUCUUUCUUUCACCAUAGGGGUUAUAGUUCUUUGGCUUGUGCUACUCUGGAAUCAUUUUACUGUUUCUGUUUUUAUUAUCUUAAGUGCUAAUUAAAAGAAGAAAUAAAAUUUUUAAAAAACCUGUAGUUCCAUUACCUUUUUGAAUAAUGUCAUACAAAAAAUGUAUUUGUGUUUUUUUGUGCUGUGAGAAUUGUUGUUUGUAGAUUAAUAAUAUCAUUUUGUUUAGAAUUACAAAAUAGUUUUUAAAUAUUGUCUGAGAAAAGCCAAAGUUAAUGCAACCUAGUGGAAACUGUAAGACCAUUUGAGUAUUGUUUCUGUUUUAUUGAUGCAUUUGGAUUUUGUUGUUCGAUGGAAUUUGAGCCAAAAAAAAAAAAAAAACAACGCAGGCUUUCCUAUUUCUACAACUGAUUGUACUUAUGCAUUUUGUACCAGUGGAACUUUUUAUACUGGAGAUUAAAAAAAAAAAAUGGAAAUUUUUGUGGCUUACUCUAGUGGGCCCCCUGACAAUGACUGAUUUCAAGUUUGAUUUCUGGUUGAUAAGAAGAAAGUUGCUUUUCUUUUGAGAAUUAAAAACUUUGGCUUGCUUUCUUUUUCCCUUUGCUUAUAUCUAGCAUUAGAAUUUUGUCUUAAAAUACAGCGGUAAGUUUCACUUUUUAUUCUGUAUUGUGCAGUUACACAAUAAGGUAAUUAGAUUUAGAAGUACUCAGUCACUUUAAGUGGAUAAAUGUAUUAGUUAAAACUUUAGGGGUUUGCUUUUUUGCUGUUUAGAUCAAUUUUCUGAUUCUUCUGUCCUCAUUGUGAACAUAACUGUGUAGUUGAAAUAGUCAAACUUAUUUUUGUAAUGUAUGUUAUUGUGUGAUGCGGUUUUUUGCUUCUGUCUCCAAUAUUAAACCAUUUUCCUAAUACUUGUUUCUCUCUCUGCGUGUUGUAUUGUUGGUAGUCAUUAUAUGUUGGUGAUACAUCUGCACACCUCACUGUUUCACGUAUGUUUUUUUUCUAUAUGUUGUGUAAAUAGAUACAGUCGAUUCCACCUAAGUGAAUAUCUGAUUUGGGGAACUGUACACCAGCCACCUUUAUUUAUGUACAACAAACCAUUUUCAUUACUGCUUCCAAGGUUUAUACACUUUUUUCUAUGGUUUACCUAAAUAACUGCCACAGAGUUGGACUUGCCAAGAUGUUUUGUGGCCUUUUGACCACAUAGAGUAAUUUCACCUUCUCUCCUCUCCUCUUCUGAUCUACCCCUUCCCUUCUCCCUCCCUCCCUCAUGAGUAUACACAUGAUAUGUGCAGUUCUUAAUGUUCAUUAAAAACUGCUGCUGGGGUUUCUUCUAUCUGCCGGUGAGUCCAAAGACAUAUCAUUACAGUCACUCUUCUUAGAAACUAAUCACCUUUUUAAAAAAGGUGAGCUCUCCAGGGAAGAAAAAAUAAACCUAGCUGGUGAAUAGAGGAUGUGAAAAGGGCUAAACUUAAGUCUGUGUGUUGCCAUCAAUCAAUAGAUGUGAACAGAAAAGUUAUUUAUUUCAGUGAGUUAACUGGAUCCAGGAGUGGCUUUAACUAUUAAAGAUAACAGAAGAGAAAAAUAUUUCCAAGUGCUCAGAUGGAAGCUCUACUCAGUCUGGUGGGGGUGGGGAUGAGGUAAGGUUUUGCAUGCUCACACCUUCGUAGUAUGUUGUCCGUUUCCAAGUGACAGUUAAUAAUGCCACUCCCUCCUGGAUGAACACAGUGUUAAGAAUAAGCAUUGGCCCCACUAUCACCACAUCCCAGUUACCAAAAAGAGAACUAUUCCUUACAUGCUCUCUAAAACUGAAGCCACAGGCCCUCCGCCCUUUUCCGUCCAUCUCCUAUGCUCAGGAAUCUGAUGAUUGCUCUUAAAGUGCUCUUAAGAGAUUCCAUCGACGUUUGCUCCAGUCUUAUCUCUUUUUCCAGUUUCUCAGACGCACAAGCUGUGUCCAACUCAGGCCACCCAGCACCUGGCAGCCAUCCUCUGGGUGCCAAUGAGGUUUUCCCCUGCAGGUGCUCAGUCUCUUCACCCUCUGGUUUCAGCAGCCCCUCUGGUCCCAAGAUUGCAGUUUCUAGUUGGUUCAACAAGAGAGGGGCCUAGGGAGGUGGAAGAGAGGAGGCUCUCUCCUGUAUGCUGAACACCUCACUGGUAGUGACUUCCACAGCUCCAGGCCUACACAGAUGGGAGCUGACUUCCUGCCGAAGCUCCUGCUCUAGCUCAUCACAGCCUGCCUCAGCCUGCCUCUGAAACCCACUGCUUACCUUCAUGGGGAGAGAUGGCUGAGGGUGUGAUUUCUUUUUCUUUUCUUUGGGAGGGAGGAGGUUGGAAAGUAUGAGGGAGGGGAGUGGGGGGAAGGAGGUGAUCAAAUUGUUUCCAAGGUGCAAGUGUUUAUCUUUUAGACACAUAAGUACACAUUUCCACCAUGUGACACAAGGCAAAAUACUCAUGCUAAGUAAAGGAAGGGAAAACAAAGCCAAAUUCUCCAAAGAAGGGGAUGAAAAUACCAGCUCCUUUGAGCACUUAACCACUGUAAAGCUGGUCCCUGCUUAAGUUCCCACUUACAAUUUUGAUGAUAUAAAACACCGUUGCAGUGUUAGCAAGGUGUGUCUGUUUGCCAUGCACGGACCACCCUGGGAAGUGACAAGCGUGUUUGUUUACCUUGCUGCUGGGAGCCACAUGUCUGGCCAGCCCAUAGCAGGCAUGUGCGGUCUGUGGCCGGACUCUUGGCUGGCAGGCUGGGAAGCCCAGUGAAGGCAAAAGUACUGUGAAUCGUUCCUGAUAAGUGAAUAAAACGUGACCGAGCAAUCAGUUCAUUCACUUAUCAGGAAUCGACUGUUCUGCUGAUUCGCUGUUUUUGUUCUUCAUCUCUGUUGUAGUUCACUAUUUUUGCUGUGUUCUGUUUUCUCCUCUCAUGCUUGGGCAAAAUCACUGGGAAUAUUUUCAUGUGACUAUGAAACGUUUAUAUCGAGUGAAAAUGGUAUCUUAACAAAAUCUAUGCACUUGCUAUCAGGAACACAAUACUGGAUGUGUCUUAUAUAUAUUGAACUAUAUAGUACUCGAUUUCUUAAAUAAAGCUUAAGAAAGGA